AUACGAAGGGGGCAAGCGUUGUUCGGAAUAACUGGGCGUAAAGCGCACGUAGGCGGAAUGUUAAGUUAGAGGUGAAAUCCCAGGGCUCAACCCUGGAACGGCCUUUAAUACUGGCAAUCUAGAGACCGAGAGAGGUGAGUGGAAUUCCGAGUGUAGAGGUGAAAUUCGUAGAUAUUCGGAGGAACACCAGUGGCGAAGGCGGCUCACUGGCUCGAUACUGACGCUGAGGUACGAAAGUGUGGGGAGCAAACAGGAUUAGAAACCCUAGUAGUCC
rnacentral:rRNA from 1 species